UUGAUUUUGGAAACUCUGAAUUUGCCUAUGUAUAAUUGCUGUUGAUUACGUUAUAGCAAUGUUUUUCGUUUAUCCUUCCAUUGGCAGCUUCUGAAGACUGCAAACAGAUAGCAGCUUGUGAGACAAGAAUGAAAAUAUCAACAAAGAGACUGAUCAAAAUGAAGAAGAUAUAUUUUGUAGGGGACCCAUCAGCAACAGCUGAGGACCAUCUUUCGUGCCAACCUUGAAGAGGCUCGUGGGCCAACUGGAGUGUCUUGAAGGUGUUUGAUGCCUUUGCAUUCUAAUGUUAUCACUCCUGAACUCGAUGAGGCUCUGCAGAAGGAGAUUCAACCUGCAUUUCAUAAAAUUCAGAGAGCAGCCCCAAACAUCACAGGAUGGAGAUGUGGACAGGAAUGAGAUAAGUCACGAGAUGUUAUGGAAAAGCAUUCCAAAGUUCUUUGCUAAUGGUGCUUAUAAUGUGCUCCAUGUUAAUAAUCUUCAUAGGAUUCUUGAGAUAAAGGGACCUCUUCUAAUGUGGUGUAGUAGUCCUCUGCAAGCUUUGGCAUCAUGCUAUUAUUUAGCGAAGGUCAAAUUUCAAAACGCUUGCAGGAGGACCGCAUGUGCAGGUGGUAUGUGAAGUUAAGUACAAAGUCGUUUUUGUCAACAAGAUUACCGUUUAGAUGUCGACUUCAAGCUGUGAGAGACUUCUUUCAUGGCAAAAGCGAAUGUUGUGGAAUCAUUAAAUAUAUGUGAAUUGCAAGCAAGAUUUUCAGUGAAAA